rnacentral:rRNA from 1 species
AACGAACGCUGGCGGCAUGCCUAACACAUGCAAGUCGAACGAUGCCUCCGGGCACUGUCGCGUAUGGGUUUGUAACGCGAGGGAAUCUGCCCUCCGGGUCGGACUAACUCAGGGAAACGUGAGCCAACACCGGACAACGUCUCAAGACCAAAGAUUUAUUACCGCAAGAUGGUCGCGCGUAGGAUUAGCUAGUUGGUAAGGUAAGGGGUCAUCAAGGGGAGGAUUCUUAGCUUGUUUGAGAGGAUGAUCAGCCACACCGGGAGUGAGACACGGCCCAGACUCCUACGGGAGGGAGGAGUGGGGGAUGGAGGAAAGUCGGGGGAGGGAUGAACCUGCAAUGACGGGAGAAUGAUGAAAGCCGUAGGGUUGUAAAGCUCAUUUACCCGGGAAGAUAAUGACGGUACCGAAAGAGUAAGCCCCGGCUAACUCCGUG